CCCCAAAAAACAAUCAAAUACAUAGGAUACAGAAAAGAAAAACAAGGGGGGAGGGGAACAGACCAUAACAUUUUUGCCAAUUGCAUAUAAAUUUAUAAACAAUAACAUCACAUGCAGUAUCAUUUAUUUCUCUUACGUAUACUGCAAACCACUAUCUUGCCUGACAUUAGUGCAUUAACCCUUUAGUGUGUAAUUUCACUUUGUUCAUAAUAUACUUUCACCUUGCUCAAUGUCUGAAUUGUAGAUAUGGCGAGUACUGUCUACAUGCUGCUCAAACACUUUAUUUCUUGCACUGAUGAGUCUUUUGAAUUGAAAAAAGCCCUGUUGCUUUGUAGUUCCUGGUCCAAAUAAAUUGCCUUAAGAAUUGGAAACUGUUGGAGUGCCUUGAUCAUUUUCUGAGUCUUUUGAAUUAGUCCUUUUGUACUAACCUACCAUAUUGUAAUCAAUUGCAUAGAAGAACCACCACAGUUUGUAAUGUAUGUGCUUCUCAGGGCUCCAUGCUCAGUAACCUGGGCCUCCCAGCCCUAACUCAGUUUGCCCUGGACUUGCCAUGGACUGUUAUUAUGGUCCAGGAGUGCAAGCUUUUACUGACCCUCCACUAUCCCCACACAAAUACUAAGUGUUUACUCAGUUUGCAAGAAAGUAUGUUAAUCUAGGAUGCUCAAAUAUUAGAAAGCUCCCAAUGUCACUAAUAAGUUCCAUCCAGUUGAACACUUUACUUUUUAAAUGUACUAAUGGUUCAUCUGAGAGUUCUAUUUCUCAGCAUAGUAUGCACUGCCCACUGGCAGAGUUAUCUGGAGCCACAUAAAUGGUCACUAUUCCAAAUCAAACAGCACCAUGAGUUGUUAGACCUUUGCUCUGCUCUUCUCAUUACAGGUUAGUGGAAUUUAGGAUACAUGUCUCUGUAGUUGUUCAUCUGUCUCUUCUACAUGGCAGGGCUUUUUGCAGAACUGGUAAGCACAAAGGAUUCUUACCUCUU